rnacentral:piRNA from 1 species
UUAGGAAGUUGCUUAGUAGCCU